CUGGCUCAGGAUGAACGCUAGCGACAGGCUUAACACAUGCAAGUCGAGGGGCAUCGGGGCGAGGAGCAAUCCUUGCCGCCGGCGACCGGCGCACGGGUGAGUAACGCGUAUGCGACCUGCCCGUUGCAGGGGGAUAAUCGGGAGAAAUCCCGUCUAAUACCGCGUAAUGCCGCGGGGCUGCAUGGCCCUGCGGCCAAAGGAAGCGAUUCCGGCAACGGAUGGGCAUGCGUAACAUUAGCUAGUUGGCGGGGCAACGGCCCACCAAGGCGACGAUGUCUAGGGGUUCUGAGAGGAAGGUCCCCCACACUGGUACUGAAACACGGACCAGACUCCUACGGGAGGCAGCAGUGAGGAAUAUUGGUCAAUGGGCGUGAGCCUGAACCAGCCAAGUCGCGUGAGGGAUGACGGCCCUACGGGUUGUAAACCUCUUUUGUCGGGGAGCAAAUUCCGCCACGCGUGGCGGAGUCGAGAGUACCCGAAGAAAAAGCAUCGGCUAACUCCGUGCCAGCAGCCGCGGUAAUACGGAGGAUGCGAGCGUUAUCCGGAUUUAUUGGGUUUAAAGGGUGCGUAGGCGGACUGUCAAGUCAGCGGUAAAAUACGGGGGCUCAACCUCCGCCCGCCGUUGAAACUGACGGUCUUGAGUGGGCGAGAAGUAUGCGGAAUGCGUGGUGUAGCGGUGAAAUGCAUAGAUAUCACGCAGAACUCCGAUUGCGAAGGCAGCAUACCGGCGCCCAACUGACGCUGAAGCACGAAAGCGUGGGUAUCGAACAGGAUUAGAUACCCUGGUAGUCCACGCAGUAAACGAUGAAUACUAGCUGUCCGGGGCGAAUGAGCCCUGGGUGGCACAGCGAAAGCGUUAAGUAUUCCACCUGGGGAGUACGCCGGCAACGGUGAAACUCAAAGGAAUUGACGGGGGCCCGCACAAGCGGAGGAACAUGUGGUUUAAUUCGAUGAUACGCGAGGAACCUUACCCGGGCUCAAACGACACAGGAACGUACCUGAAAGGGUUCGGCUCUACGGAGCCUGUGUCGAGGUGCUGCAUGGUUGUCGUCAGCUCGUGCCGUGAGGUGUCGGCUUAAGUGCCAUAACGAGCGCAACCCCCAUCGACAGUUGCUAACAGGUCAGGCUGAGGACUCUGUCGAGACUGCCGGCGCAAGCUGCGAGGAAGGCGGGGAUGACGUCAAAUCAGCACGGCCCUUACGUCCGGGGCGACACACGUGUUACAAUGGCAGGUACAGCGGGAAGCCACCUGGCGACAGGGAGCGGAACCCGAAAGCCUGUCUCAGUUCGGAUUGGAGUCUGCAACCCGACUCCAUGAAGCUGGAUUCGCUAGUAAUCGCGCAGCAGCCACGGCGCGGUGAAUACGUUCCCGGGCCUUGUACACACCGCCCGUCAAGCCAUGGAAGCCGGGGGUGCCUGAAGUGCGCUGCCGCGAGGAGCGCCCUAGGGUAAAACCGGUGACUGGGGCUAAGUCGUAACAAGGUA
rnacentral:rRNA from 1 species